rnacentral:rRNA from 1 species
AUUGAACGCUGGCGGCAGGCUUAACACAUGCAAGUCGAACGAUGACUAACUAGCUUGCUAGUUAUGAUUAGUGGCGGACGGGUGAGUAACAUUUAGGAAUCUGCCUAGUAGUGGGGGAUAGCUCGGGGAAACUCGAAUUAAUACCGCAUACGACCUACGGGUGAAAGGGGGCGCAAGCUCUUGCUAUUAGAUGAGCCUAAAUCAGAUUAGCUAGUUGGUGGGGUAAAGGCCCACCAAGGCGACGAUCUGUAACUGGUCUGAGAGGAUGAUCAGUCACACCGGAACUGAGACACGGUCCGGACUCCUACGGGAGGCAGCAGUGGGGAAUAUUGGACAAUGGGGGCAACCCUGAUCCAGCCAUGCCGCGUGUGUGAAGAAGGCCUUUUGGUUGUAAAGCACUUUAAGCAGGGAGGAGAGGCUAAUGGUUAAUACCCAUUAGAUUAGACGUUACCUGCAGAAUAAGCACCGGCUAACUCUGUGCCAGCAGCCGCGGUAAUACAGAGGGUGCGAGCGUUAAUCGGAAUUACUGGGCGUAAAGCGAGUGUAGGUGGCUCAUUAAGUCACAUGUGAAAUCCCCGGGCUUAACCUGGGAACUGCAUGUGAUACUGGUGGUGCUAGAAUAUGUGAGAGGGAAGUAGAAUUCCAGGUGUAGCGGUGAAAUGCGUAGAGAUCUGGAGGAAUACCGAUGGCGAAGGCAGCUUCCUGGCAUAAUAUUGACACUGAGAUUCGAAAGCGUGGGUAGCAAACAGGAUUAGAUACCCUGGUAGUCCACGCCGUAAACGAUGUCUACUAGCCGUUGGGGUCCUUGAGACUUUAGUGGCGCAGUUAACGCGAUAAGUAGACCGCCUGGGGAGUACGGCCGCAAGGUUAAAACUCAAAUGAAUUGACGGGGGCCUGCACAAGCGGUGGAGCAUGUGGUUUAAUUCGAUGCAACGCGAAGAACCUUACCUGGUCUUGACAUAGUGAGAAUCCUGCAGAGAUGCGGGAGUGCCUUCGGGAAUUCACAUACAGGUGCUGCAUGGCUGUCGUCAGCUCGUGUCGUGAGAUGUUGGGUUAAGUCCCGCAACGAGCGCAACCCUUUUCCUUAUUUGCCAGCGGGUUAAGCCGGGAACUUUAAGGAUACUGCCAGUGACAAACUGGAGGAAGGCGGGGACGACGUCAAGUCAUCAUGGCCCUUACGACCAGGGCUACACACGUGCUACAAUGGUAGGUACAGAGGGUUGCUACACAGCGAUGUGAUGCUAAUCUCAAAAAGCCUAUCGUAGUCCGGAUUGGAGUCUGCAACUCGACUCCAUGAAGUCGGAAUCGCUAGUAAUCGCAGAUCAGAAUGCUGCGGUGAAUACGUUCCCGGGCCU